UUGGCUUAGGGAUACGUUCGUUGGGUAGGGGAGCGUUCUGUAAGCCUGUGAAGGUGGCCUGUGAGGGUUGCUGGAGGUAUCAGAAGUGCGAAUGCUGACAUAAGUAACGAUAAAGCGGGUGAAAAGCCCGCUCGCCGGAAGACCAAGGGUUCCUGUCCAACGUUAAUCGGGGCAGGGUGAGUCGACCCCUAAGGCGAGGCCGAAAGGCGUAGUCGAUGGGAAACGGGUUAAUAUUCCCGUACUUGGUGUUACUGCGAAGGGGGGACGGAGAAGGCUAUGUUGGCCGGGCGACGGUUGUCCCGGUUUAAGCGUGUAGGUGUGUGUUCCAGGUAAAUCCGGUUCACUUUAACACUGAGGCGUGACGACGAGGCACUACGGUGCUGAAGUAACAAAUGCCCUGCUUCCAGGAAAAGCCUCUAAGCAUCAGGUAACAUCAAAUCGUACCCCAAACCGACACAGGUGGUCAGGUAGAGAAUACCAAGGCGCUUGAGAGAACUCGGGUGAAGGAACUAGGCAAAAUGGUGCCGUAACUUCGGGAGAAGGCACGCUGAUAUGUAGGUGAAGUGAUUUACUCACGGAGCUGAAAUCAGUCGAAGAUACCAGCUGGCUGCAACUGUUUAUUAAAAACACAGCACUGUGCAAACACGAAAGUGGACGUAUACGGUGUGACGCCUGCCCGGUGCCGGAAGGUUAAUUGAUGGGGUCAGCGCAAGCGAAGCUCCUGAUCGAAGCCCCGGUAAACGGCGGCCGUAACUAUAACGGUCCUAAGGUAGCGAAAUUCCUUGUCGGGUAAGUUCCGACCUGCACGAAUGGCGUAAUGAUGGCCAGGCUGUCUCCACCCGAGACUCAGUGAAAUUGAACUCGCUGUGAAGAUGCAGUGUACCCGCGGCAAGACGGAAAGACCCCGUGAACCUUUACUAUAGCUUGACACUGAACAUUGAGCCUUGAUGUGUAGGAUAGGUGGGAGGCUUUGAAGUGUGGACGCCAGUCUGCAUGGAGCCGACCUUGAAAUACCACCCUUUAAUGUUUGAUGUUCUAACGUGGACCCGUAAUCCGGGUUGCGGACAGUGUCUGGUGGGUAGUUUGACUGGGGCGGUCUCCUCCUAAAGAGUAACGGAGGAGCACGAAGGUUGGCUAAUCCUGGUCGGACAUCAGGAGGUUAGUGCAAUGGCAUAAGCCAGCUUGACUGCGAGCGUGACGGCGCGAGCAGGUGCGAAAGCAGGUCAUAGUGAUCCGGUGGUUCUGAAUGGAAGGGCCAUCGCUCAACGGAUAAAAGGUACUCCGGGGAUAACAGGCUGAUACCGCCCAAGAGUUCAUAUCGACGGCGGUGUUUGGCACCUCGAUGUCGGCUCAUCACAUCCUGGGGCUGAAGUAGGUCCCAAGGGUAUGGCUGUUCGCCAUUUAAAGUGGUACGCGAGCUGGGUUUAGAACGUCGUGAGACAGUUCGGUCCCUAUCUGCCGUGGGCGCUGGAGAACUGAGGGGGGCUGCUCCUAGUACGAGAGGACCGGAGUGGACGCAUCACUGGUGUUCGGGUUGUCAUGCCAAUGGCACUGCCCGGUAGCUAAAUGCGGAAGAGAUAAGUGCUGAAAGCAUCUAAGCACGAAACUUGCCCCGA
rnacentral:rRNA from 1 species